CCUCUCUGACAAGGUGCAGAGCUUAGCUGAUUGGUGAACAGUGAUUGAUUUCCCCUUUGUUCACAGUGGCUAAGUUCUGCACCUGAAGAGAAGGUG
rnacentral:pre_miRNA from 1 species